UCAGAAGGCCUUAUCGAACGCCAGCCCCUG
rnacentral:piRNA from 1 species